rnacentral:rRNA from 1 species
GUAGGGAAUAUUGGGCAAUGGAGGCAACUCUGACCCAGCCAUGCCGCGUGCAGGAUGACGGCCCUCUGGGUUGUAAACUGCUUUUAUACGGGAAGAAAAAAUACUACGUGUAGUAUACUGACGGUACCGUAAGAAUAAGGAUCGGCUAACUCCGUGCCAGCAGCCGCGGUAAUCCGGAGGAUCCAAGCGUUGUCCGGAUUUAUUGGGUUUAAAGGGUGCGUAGGCGGAUCUUUAAGUCAGUGGUGAAAGCCUGCAGCUUAACUGUAGAAUUGCCAUUGAAACUGAAGAUCUUGAAUGUGGUUAAAGUAGGCGGAAUGUAUCAUGUAGCGGUGAAAUGCUUAGAUAUGAUACAGAACACCGAUAGCGAAGGCAGCUUGCUGAACCAUUAUUGACGCUGAGGCACGAAAGCGUGGGGAGCGAACAGGAUUAGAAACCCGUGUAGUCC